GAAAGCAAUAGGAUUAAAUCAUCUUGUAUAACUACAUAGAGUUUUGUUGGAGUGUCUAUUUGAUUUUAGUUCGUUUUUAUUCUAACGUAUAGAUUACAGAAAUCUUAAUUUUAAAAUUUGUGAAAUUCUUGAAAGAAAAGAAAACGGAAAGGAUACAUCUGUUGACAUUCAUUAAAGACACCUACUGACAAAAUGUAAGAAUAUUAGUUCUUUAAAAUAGAAAGUGAAGUUGUUUUCGUAAUUGUAGCGUGUGCAAAAGCUUGUAAAAAAAAGUUAAGAUUACGUUCCCAACAUCCGUGUCUACUGCCCAUUGUUUACAUCAAAUCUAGCGACACAUUGUGUACACAUAAAGAUGCGACCAUUGUACCAAGUACAAACUAUUUCACCUCUUCUAAAACAUCUGGAAAGUCUCAGAGAUGUUAUAAAUCCGUUAUCAAUCGACUUAAAUCAUAUAAUUUUUGGAUGCCAAAGCUGGCUAAAAGACGAUGACAGGAGAACUUUUAAAGAAAUGAUGUUAGAACUGGAGGACAUAACUAGUUCAAUACGAGAACAAAUGUCGGCGUUGUUAGA